AGUGAACGCUGGCGGUAGGCCUAACACAUGCAAGUCGAACGGCAGCACAGUAAGAGCUUGCUCUUACGGGUGGCGAGUGGCGGACGGGUGAGGAAUACAUCGGAAUCUACUUUUUCGUGGGGGAUAACGUAGGGAAACUUACGCUAAUACCGCAUACGACCUACGGGUGAAAGCAGGGGAUCUUCGGACCUUGCGCGAUUGAAUGAGCCGAUGUCGGAUUAGCUAGUUGGCGGGGUAAAGGCCCACCAAGGCGACGAUCCGUAGCUGGUCUGAGGGGAGGAUAAGCCACACUGGAACUGAGAAACGGGCCAGGCCCCCACGGGGGGGAGCAGUGGGGAAUAUUUGAACAUGGGCGAAAGCCUGAGCCAGCCAUGCCGCGUGGGUGAAGAAGGUCUUUGGGGUGUAAAGCCCUUUUUGUUGGGAAGAAAAGGAGGAAGGUAAUACCCCGCUGUUUUGACGGUACCAAAAGAAUAAGCCCCGGCUAACUUUGGG
rnacentral:rRNA from 1 species